GGGGCCCGCACAAGCGGCGGAGCAUGCGGAUUAAUUCGAUGCAACGCGAAGAACCUUACCAAGGCUUGACAUAUACGAGAACGGGCCAGAAAUGGUCAACUCUUUGGACACUCGUAAACAGGUGGUGCAUGGUUGUCGUCAGCUCGUGUCGUGAGAUGUUGGGUUAAGUCCCGCAACGAGCGCAACCCUCGUCCUAUGUUGCCAGCACGUAAUGGUGGGAACUCAUGG
rnacentral:rRNA from 1 species